AUAAAAGUCUACAGAUUCUAAAAAAUAAGUACGAGGCCCCAAUCUCUCGAUUCAUCCUCUCCUCCAAACCGCCCCCAAAUCAACUCGACCUGCCCUCCAUGGCCGCUCCACCCCACCACCACCACCCCAAUCGUGAUGUGCCCUCGCCACCGCAACCAACCACCACACCCCCGCCUACACCCCCAGCCACCGCGAGUCCCCGACCCCUGCCUUCGUCGCCCCCAACGCCCCACCGCAGCACCACCGAGCAUACAGCUGAUACAGAUCUAGGUCGCCGCCGACCGGCCCCAUUGCCGAGCCACUCCACCGCCGACCACUGUCCUCCGCCUAAUGCUCCAUUGCCACCACCAUACUCUGCGAGCUUCCUCCCCCGAGCAGGACUUGUCACCGGUGCACCGACCAAGGCCGCCUCCUCUAUGUCCUCUGCCCCAAGCAAUGGAGCGUCCGUCCCCUCCCGCGAGCAGCUCUGCCUCCUGUACUUCCUUGUCCCAAAGAGAGCAUUUGAUAGGGAUCAAGUUGUUGGGUGGCCGCCUCGUGGGAGCUACCGGAAGAACACACUAGCCGCCAAUGCUACAAAGACCAAGGUGGAGAACAAAGGUAAAAGCAAGGCAUGAUACUGCUAUGUCAAGGUCAGCAUGAAUGGAGUCCCAUACCUAAGGAAGGUCGACCUCAAGACUUAACUCGAGCUCUACAAGAAUCUUUCUCUAGAGCUUGAGAAGAUGUUCAGCUGCUUCAUCACUAGUGAGUGUCGCUGUUUUCAUUUGAUCAAUUUCCAGCUAUAUAUGUGUAGUGUUCUUUCCUUCGUUGUUUCCAGAUGUAAGUUACCAUUAGAAAAUAUAGGUGAAUAUCUAGUCUGCAGUAAAUGUGAAGUUAAGAAUCAUAUUUUCCUUAUGCAUUUUUUGGUUACUGAAGGUCUCGGGAAGACAAAAAAUGCAGGACUACUUUUGAACCCCACUGGCUUAACUAUGUCUACGAGGCAAUCGAUGACCACUAAAUAAUUACUCAGCAGGAUUAAGUGUAACAUCCUUUUCAAAGGAUAGAAAUAAAUAAUUAGAUAUGUAUAUUGCUACUUGAGUGCCAGAGUCUGGUCUUUCCUAAAUGGUAGGAACACAGAGGCAAAACAACAUAUGCCAUUCACAACAUUCAUUCAGUAUUACAGCAAAAGAAGCAGCUUUUGGUAACCUGCGUUCAGUUAGUCUAUUAAUUGCAAUUUCUAUACAGUAUUUUCCAUUGUCCUCUUUCGUUACCUCCAUGUUUCACCAUCUCGUACGAUUUCCCCUCCUAUCGAUGUUUUUUCUCAAUCUGAGGCCCACCUUGUGUUUUCCCCAAGCCAAUUUUUUCCUUGUGGGACAGACAACCUUUUCCAGCCUAAUUUGUUUCCUAGAAUCGAUCAUGCAUCCUGACCUAUUGGGAAGUUUGAUUUUUGUGCCAUCAUAUUUUGGUAUGUCCUCAACACUGCUCGCUAUUCGGUGAACUGUUUCUUCUAAUUCAGUGCCACAUGCAUCUCCUCAAUCGGUUGCAUGUCCUGUAUAUAUUUAGAGUUUGUAUAUGAAGAAGGUUGUUUGUGUUAUUUUACAGGAUUGCGUACACUAUGAUCAGAUCUGUUUGGCAGAUUUGAGUACCCUGAGCUCAUCUCAUUUGAAGAAAGCAGCAUUUUUCAGUUUCAGAUUCAUGUCGGCAUACAAAGCUAAUAGUACCACACCAAGCAAUCAUGAAAACAAAUAUUCUUGCAAAACAUCAACAAGAGACAGGCUCACAAAUGGUUCUAGGAUAAAUGCUCUUAGGGACCAGGAGUAUGUCCUGACCUAUGAAGAUAAGGAUGCUGAUUGGAGCUCUUUGGCGAUCUUCCUUGGUUUCUGAAAGAUGCAGAAGUUGAUGGAAGUUUGGAAGAUCUACAAGUUGCUGGAGGUUUGGAAGAUCUACAAGUUAGUGGAGUGAUAACAUAUAUGUAAUAUGUCUUGUUUGUUGAACCUGGAGACAUUGCAAAGUUUUACUCUGCUCAUUUUGGUGGUUGUUUUGGCACACAAGCCAUUGUAUCCUCAUUUUGCUUGUGGGCCACCAUUUUUGUUUAUCUUGAAACAUAUGUACAUAUGUCUUUGGUCUAUUUAUAUUAUUGAAUGAGGCCUUACAGAUAACUUUGAUUGAAACACGUGUAUAAAUUGCAUGAUCUGACAUGAUUGUUUGAACAUA